CGGGCCAGAAUCCUACGGGAGGCAGCAGUGGAAAUUUAGACAUUGGCGCCAAGCCUGAUCCAGCCAUGCGCGUGUCUGAAAAAAGCUCUUCGGGUUUUAAAGACUUUUGUCAGGGAAAGAAAAAGGGCCGGGGUUAAUACCCCUGUCUGAUGACGGUACUCUGAAGAUAAAGCACCGGCUAACUACGUGCCAGCAGCCGCGGUAAUACGUAGGGUGCGAGCGUUAAUCGGAAUUACUGGGCGUAAAGCGGGCGCAGACGGUUACUUAAGCAGGAUGUGAAAUCCCCGGGCUCAACCUGGGAACUGCGUUCUGAACUGGGUGACUAGAGUGUGUCAGAGGGAGGUAGAAUUCCACGUGUAGCAGUGAAAUGCGUAGAGAUGUGGAGGAAUACCGAUGGCGAAGGCAGCCUCCUGGGAUAACACUGACGUUCAUGCCCGAAAGCGUGGGUAGCAAACAGGAUUAGAUACCCUGGUAGUCCACGCCCUAAACGAUGUCGAUUAGCUGUUGGGCAGCAUGACUGCUUAGUAGCGAAGCUAACGCGUGAAAUCGACCGCCUGGGGAGUACGGUCGCAAGAUUAAAACUCAAAGGAAUUGACGGGGACCCGCACAAGCGGUGGAUGAUGUGGAUUAAUUCGAUGCAACGCGAAGAACCUUACCUGGUCUUGACAUGUACGGAACCCUCCAGAGACGGAGGGGUGCCUUCGGGAGCCGUAACACAGGUGCUGCAUGGCUGUCGUCAGCUCGUGUCGUGAGAUGUUGGGUUAAGCCCCGCAACGAGCGCAACCCUUGUCAUUAGUUGCCAUCAUUAAGUUGGGCACUCUAAUGAGACUGCCGGUGACAAGCCGAAGGAAGGUGGGGAUGACGUCAAGUCCUCAUGGCCCUCAUGACCAGGGCUUCACACGUCAUACAAUGGUCGGUACAGAGGGUAGCCAAGCCGCGAGGUGGAGCCAAUCUCACAAAACCAAUCGUAGUCCGGAUUGCACUCUGCAACUCGAGUGCAUGAAGUCGGAAUCGCUAGUAAUCGCAGGUCAGCAUACUGCGGUGAAUACGUUCCCGGGUCUUGUACACACCGCCCGU
rnacentral:rRNA from 1 species